rnacentral:rRNA from 1 species
UGGUGUAUAUCUGGUUUAAUAUUAUUGCUGAAUGACUGAAUUUGUGUAUAUGUUAUUUAAGCCAAGUCUAUGUGCUGCUUGUAAAAGAUUUCAUGCGUUACAUUUAUAUUUAUUAGUUUUGAGAAUUUAAUUUUUAAUUACGACUUAAAAGUGAUAUAUUAUGUUUUUGUCUAUGUGAAAAAGGUUUACCUCAUGUACACACCGC